rnacentral:lncRNA from 1 species
GCCAACAGUUUCAAAUGCAGAUGUUUGAUCUGAGGCAUGUAUAUAACAACAUUCUCAGUCACCACCAACAUGUGUGAGUUCAUUCUCUAAAUUUCUGAAUUCAUAGAUUUUCUGGGUCACAGAAUUUCACCCAGAAUUUGUGGGUCACAGCUUGUUUUUUAAGUUUCGUACAUGCUAUAUAUUUAGAGGAACAUGAAUACUACCAGGACUUUAUACAUCAGUUUUCUAUCUGACUGCACUGGAUGUUUCCAAAGCAGAUUUAUGAAACCUUAAAUUAAACAGGGAUAGGAUAAUCUGCAUUAGGUCUCCUUGCAAUAACUAAUAGAAAAGAUUGUCUUAAACUCUGAAGCAUCCUGUUUAGUAUUCCUUUGUAUUGAUAGUAAUCAUUUCGAUUCCAGAUGGUAUUGUUACCCUUUAAAAUGUUCAGUCAGUUCUUAUAUCAUUGUUUUUUGAACUGUAGCCACAGCCUCUGCAGUUCAAUUACAUGUAGUGUGUAGAAUAAUUCUGUAAUAUCUUUUUAGAAUAAGUAGCCAGAAGAACUGAUAUGCAUCUUUGCUGCUGCUAUUAACACUGAUGUGUCUUAACAAACCAUUCCAGCUGUCAUGAAAAUCCCUCAGGUGCAGACUGAAUUUUCUGGAGACAAACAGCUCCACCCCAGAACAGCCAGUAAGCCAGAAGCUACCAUGAUUGUCUGAAUUAACACUGAAUGAAAACCUGGGUCUCUUAUAUCCCAGGUCUUUUCUCAAAGGGAAAAAAAGAAGAACUUAUGGAUUGUCUUAGGACAAUCAAAGACAUCCCAGUCUUAUACACUGUAAUAAAACAUGUCCAAUAUCAGACCCAGUUUAAACAGCCUGUAGGCAAAAACACCUCUUCUGUUGUCCUGCUUACAGCAACAAUUAGAAGAAUGAAGUUUUCAAUAAGAGAUGCAAGCAUGAGUCCCUGAUAACUGAGUGUCAGAGACUAUUUGUCAAACACCAGGUAAAUAAACAAAUCUGGUUCCAGUGGAGCUGCUUCA